rnacentral:rRNA from 1 species
CAGCUCUUGACAUGCCCGGUAUGGGGCCGAGAGAUCGGCUCCUUCAGUUCGGCUGGCCGGUGCACAGGUGCUGCAUGGCUGUCGUCAGCUCGUGUCGUGAGAUGUUGGGUUAAGUCCCGCAACGAGCGCAACCCUCACCUUCAGUUGCCAUCAGGUUAAGCUGGGCACUCUGAAGGAACCGCCGGUGACAAGCCGGAGGAAGGCGGGGAUGACGUCAAGUCCUCAUGGCCCUUACAGGUUGGGCUACACACGUACUACAAUGGUGGUGACAGAGGGCAGCGAACCCGCGAGGGGGAGCUAAUCCUCAAAAGCCAUCUCAGUUCGGAUUGCACUCUGCAACUCGAGUGCAUGAAGUUGGAAUCGCUAGUAAUCGCAGAUCAGCACGCUGCGGUGAAUA